rnacentral:rRNA from 1 species
GAGUUUGAUCUUGGCUCAGAUUGAACGCUGGCGGCAGGCCUAACACAUGCAAGUCGAGCGGUAGAGAGAAGCUUGCUUCUCUUGAGAGCGGCGGACGGGUGAGUAACUGCCUAGGAAUCCUGCCUGGUAGUGGGGGGAUAACGCUCGGAAACGGACGCUAAUACCGCAUACCGUCCUACGGGAGAAAGCAGGGGACCUUCGGGCCUUGCGCUAUCAGAUGAGCCUAGGUCGGAUUAGCUAGUUGGUGAGGUAAAUGGCUCACCAAGGCGACGAUCCGUAACUGGUCUGAGGGGGAUGAUCAGUCACACUGGAACUGAGACACGGUCCAGACCUCCUACGGGAGGCACGCAGU